GGCCCCAGCGUCGCCAGGAGAGCUUCCAGCCUCUCUAGAAUCACUACUGCGCACUUCCUGGACAGCAGUCUCCGUCGCAAGAAGCGGAGGGAAAAAAAAAAGCAACAAGCAGGGAUAGAACCAGCGUUGGCCGCCGCGCACGUCGGGAGUUGUAGUUCUGGCUAGGCCGUGCGUCCUGCACCGAUCUCCGGGCCCGCCGCGGCGCCCGCUGGCCUGGGGUUCCGGCUUACAGCGCGGGAAUUCGGGAACCCAGCGCGGGCUGCAGAGGCCCCAGCAGGAGCCCCGCCUCCCGGCUCGUCGACGGAUUCGUUCUUGGCCCUGCCAAUCUGAUUCUCAGCUCCCAGAACUUCACGAUUUAGAAUGUAGACUUUUGCUUUGUGACAGUUCUCCCCAUCCCCGACUACUAAAUGACGAACCCUCUUUAACUGUGAAAUGUACCUGCAAAGUCAAGCAGUGUCUUUGGAUACCCAAGUUCAGAUAUGAACAAGCAAGCUACAAAAGCGGGGUGGGCGGGUAUGAGUGAGCAGAAGAGAGAAACCGGGCUGCAAAAAAGGAAAAUAAAGGCGGGACGUGGGGGUAUGAUUUGCUGAAUGGUACCAAAGUUGAUUUUUUGCACCGUGCACAGUGAUCGAGCUGAGCAAAUUAUUUUUUUUUUAAUUAUAAGCAGCGGUAAGAACAACAACAAAAUUACAUUUGGAAAAUGAUUUGCAUUUUCUCGGUCUGAUCAUUUCACGUUCCCUGGGAAAGGGAUGUCAAGAGUGCCUUGCUGCCUCCUCAUGUGUGUCAAUAGGAGAGUGAUGAUAUUUGAGUUGGAUCUUAAAGAGCAGAAUUUCCUCAAAAUGUAGAGGAGGAGAAGAUUGUGGUCCAGACUUCCAUCUUCCCAUAUAAUGACUCCAGAAGAAA
rnacentral:lncRNA from 1 species